UGGCGUUCCACCCCCAAUCUUGACCUGGUACAAAAACAAACGCAACCUUGCACAGGGAUCAGGUAAGACAUGAGACGGCCUCAUGCUGAUCACUAAUCCAUGGGGAGUAAAAGCUUUCCUUUGCUCCAUGUUGAACAGCUCUGUGACCUUUUCUCUGAUUUCUAAACACCAGGUAUUGUAAUGAUACCAAAGUCGGGUCUUUACACAUUGAUCGAAUCACAACGGAGGACCAAGGCCUGUACACAUGCCGGGCAACCAAUGAGAGGGGAUCUGCCGAGAGUUCUGCCUACAUAUGGGUCAACAGCACCUUGGAGGCGUCAUCCCUGGAGAUCCCCACUCUCACGUGUAUCUGCGUGGUGGCCACCAUACUCUGGCUGAUGAUCACACUCUUCAUACGCAAGCUCAGACAGGUAGAGAAACUCGACUGUCACCCCCCAACUGUAUUGAUGAACACAUGAGUUGCACAUCAAUCACAUGCACGCUCACAUGACGGUCAUUCCUUUCCCAUUCUGGGUCGAAGGGACUGGAGGCAGGGAGGGAGCUAGCUAACGACAGGUGGGAGGGAGGGACAGGAGGGAGGGAGGGAGGGAGGGAGGGAGGGAGGGACGAGAGGGAGGGAGGGAGGGACAGGAGGGAGGGACAGGAGGGGAGGGACAUGGGGUUAGGCUGAGAACUGCAGAGUGAGAAGUGAGAAUGAAAGGAGAAGGGAACCUAGCGAAACACACAACCAGACCCUCAUGUACACGGAGCAGCAAAGGGUCAGAAGCUGCCGUAACAGAGGCACAUUUCCAUGCUACAUUCUUUUGUUUGGCUUGCUUGCAAGUUGAAUGUUGCCCUUUUGAGCUUUUGUCAUAAAAAGGUAGAGACUCACCCGAGAUAAGAAAUCAUUCUUGCUGGUCGAACCAUUGUUUUGUCCCCCCCCCCCCCCCCCCCUCUCAGCCAGACCAUCCGCUACUAAACCAGAGUAUCUGUCAAUCAUCCUGGGCACGGGAGGGGGGACCAAUGGAGGAGCAGAGUGAGAGGCUGCAGUACGACCCCAGCCGAUGGGAGUUCCCCAGGGAGCAUCUCAAGCUAGGUAUGGUUUCUUAAUCACGGAGGAGCAAACCCAGACCACAUAGAGACACAAUGAGGGUGGGAAAUGAUUUUUUUUUUUUCUAUCCAUAAUAAC
rnacentral:lncRNA from 1 species